AUAACCUUGAGGAGGGCAUCAACCCAUUGCUACACACCCUUAUUCUGAACCAAAUGUAACCCCUACUCCCUUCCUAGGCGUUGAAUGGUUGAACCAAGAAGAACACAAAUUGUCUAUCUACCUCUUAAUUCUAAAACCGAACUCAGCCUUCUCCUGCACCCUCCAUCGUUAAAAAUAAAAGAAGAAAAAUAGAGGGGUACUAAGCUUAAAUCGUUUUCACCUCAUAUUCCCACAAAACCGUAACCUUCAAUCAGCUAAAUUCCCAUUCAUUCUCAUUCUGACUCAGUUUUAGAGCAACUACGGAGGAGAUUACCAUCUCAAUUCAUUCUUCAUUUUUCUCUAGCUUGGCCGAGGAACUAUCUUAGGAGCGGAAGUAUUCCUUGCUUUCUUUUAGCUCCCUCUUGCUUGGAACGGUUCUAAUUGAGUUUUUCCACUGAAUGAAAUUGGUCCAGCCUUGAUUGGGUUUCUUCUUCCCUUGCAUGCAGAUGGGUAGCUCGGAUUGUUGCAAGGAGGAGGGUGAGGGUACCAAUCUUCUUUUGGGUGAUGCCUUUGGACCGGUUGUGAGCACUUUGGUGUGUACGAAGAGCUGAAGAGUGUAGGCCAUAGACACAUGCCAGUUUAGGACUCAAAUUUUAGCUUGGACCGUAGCCCCCUUGUGAAGUUGUGGGACUAUUUUGGUGGAGUUUAUUGUGUAUCAAACCUGUAUUCCUUUCCCCAUGGGGCGCACUGCCAGCAGUGUUGGAGAAGAUAAAAACCAUGUUCAACAGAAUGGGAAAGUGAGGGAACUCACACAGCACUCGAUUUCUGCCCCUAGUCGAUUUGGGAAUUCUAAGUGACUACAAGUAGAUGAGGACUUAGAAGCUUAUGGGGAAGUGUUUGAUGACAUAAUCACAUGAAUAAUCCUGAUUGAGUUAUGUUGUUCGCAACAUUGCUGUUCGUUGGCUGUUUCCUGCUGAUUGUAUUCUAAUUAUUCCUCUUUGCUGUAGUUUCGUAAAAGUUGACAUGCCAUGAUGUAUAUUCAGUUUUGAAAAGAAGUUUAGCAUGAUUUAUAUGUCUCUGGUAUUUAAAUUGCGAAAAACCAUUGUUACUGUAUUUGAAUUUGGAGUUUAAACAAUUUUGCGAGCACUUUGCGAGUUGUCGUUCUGGGGCUAUAGACCUCCGAUUGAGGUAUAUUUUAUAUGGAUGUAAAGCACCAGCCGCGUAGUUUCUGAUUAUAAAGAUUUGGACAUGAAAUUUUAAAAAGCCGAAUUAUUUUGAUUUUUACAAGUCAGGAGGCUUUUAGAUAAAUACAUUGAAUUUUCGAGGAACUUGCGAGUUCUGUUUCGUGGGGCUAGAGACCUCCGAUUCGCGUAUAAUUUAUAUGUACGCGAAGCCCCAGAUGUCUAGUUUCUUCGUAGCAAAGAAAAUUUUUGUACUCGGAUUUUUUAUAAUGUUUUCAAGACAGCAAGGUCUGUCAGGAUAGUUAGGAAAAUUUAGCAAACUAUGUAUUUUUAAAAUUUACACUCUGAUUUUUAUGAACAACUGGAUUUCGACGCAAGUUUUUAAUUAGCAACUUAAAAUGAUUUUUUCAGUAUUCAAGAAAUGACAUUAAGAACUCUAAUCCGCUUAGCAAACAACUCUCUUUGAUGCAUACAAGGGAGGGUGUUACAUCAUGGUUGUGGGGAGGGGUUAGGGUUUUUCUCUCUCUCUCUCUCUCUCCUCUCUUUGUCACUCAUCUAGCCACCAAAACACAAAGUGCCAUACAUGAAAGUUUAAGUAGAGAUCAUGGUGAAUCCAUCCCACUACUUUGUUUAGGCUGAAAAGGCUUGUGUGAAGAGCUCUCUUCCUCUCAAAAUUCGGUUACUAUUUAUCCUAGUGAGAGACGUGAAUUUUUAGGUGGAACCAAGCUUGGGUUUUGUUCUCCAAGCCUUCUAUAGAUGAUUUGAGGUGUGCCUAGGGACUGAGCGUCUUGGAUUCGUUUGGAGCUAAAUAUGUAACUUGUGUUACGAGUGAACAAAGUGGUAAAGCUUCAAAAGGAAGUGAGCCCAGGGUAUGAAGAGUUUUCCAUAAACGUGGAGUUUACUAGAGAUUCGUCUCUAACCCCAUUUGGGGAUAUGAUUUCAGGAACACAGUUAAUUGAAGAGCCUCAUGGGACAAGGACACUAACCGUGGCUAGAGGUACUAGUAUGAGGAUGUGGAGUUCUGGGUGGCUGGAGGCCACUAUUUAUUUUAGACGUAUUUUUUGAAAAGAUGUAUUGUUGUAUAGUGUUCAUAUUCGAUGCAUGUACAUUUGUGUAUUCAGGCAUGUUGAUAUGACUAUGUAGUAUUCAGUUAUGUUAUGUAUUGGAUUGCAUGCUAUUAGAUUAGUGGCACGGAGCCAAG